rnacentral:lncRNA from 1 species
GUGGCCAUACUUGAUGUAGGUUUGUUGAGAUGCUCAGGCACUGAGGUUUCCAGCUGGUACAGAUUAUCACUGCUGUAUGGCACACACCUGUUAGAGAAGGGAAUACUCUUCAGGAAGAGCUCACUUGGAGUCCCUCACAGAGGAGCUGUAUGAAUGUGCACAGAAGGGUUGGAUUUUUUAAGAAUGAGAAGGAAGCUGCAAACAAUUUAUGCAGACACCGCUACAAGCUGCAGCAGCAAUCACAAUAUACAACGACCUGUAAGAAAGCCAUGGACUGGAAGGUACAUAUGUUUACUCUGGUGUUUUCAAGGAGAGUCCUGAGGAGCAAACCUUACUUCAUGUUGCAUAAAUUGUCUGGUACGGCAGACCAAGUUGUUGAGAGUGCAGAUCUCUGA